UACGUGGGGGGCUAGCGUUGUCCGGAAUCAUUGGGCGUAAAGCGCGUGUAGGCGGUUCGGUAAGUCCGCUGUGAAAGUCGGGGGCUCAACCCUCGAAAGCCGGUGGAUACUGUCGGGCUAGAGUGCGGAAGAGGCGAGUGGAAUUCCUGGUGUAGCGGUGAAAUGCGUAGAGAUCGUAAGGAAGGCCAGUGGCGAAGGCGAGUUCCUGGACAGUGACUGACGCUGAGGCACGAAGGCCAGGGGAGCAAACGGG
rnacentral:rRNA from 1 species